UAUUAAUUUAAAAAUCUGUAGACUGAUUAAACCAGUGGUUCUUACCGUGGGUGGCACCGCCCUCUAGUUAGCAUUUCUAUCCCUCGAUGGGGCGAUAGGUUUUAAGUGGAUGUUGGAGGAAGGAGGGUGAGUUUUUAAAUGCAGAAUGUUGAAAAAAUAAAUAAAAAGCACCAGCGUUCAGUGAAACGUUAACGCACGUGAAAUCAGAAUAGUGUACAGGGCCAAAUUUAUGGUUUUGAUUUAGUGUUGUCCAAGAUUCCGAUAGUAUAAUACUCGGUAUAAAGAUUAAUUAUCAAAAAAAAAAAAGGAUCAGGAAAUCACCAAGGUAAACCGAUAGUUUUGCGUGUGGGCGAUACGGCCAAG